CGCGGGCGCGGCGAGGAGCGCGCCGGUGCUGAUGGCGCCCGCGGACUGGCCGGCGACGGUGACCCGGUCCGGGUCGCCGCCGAAGGCCGCGA
rnacentral:tRNA from 1 species